GGACAUUGGAAACUGGGAGACUUGAGUGCAGAUAGAGGAAAGUGGAAUUUCUGUAACUGACACUGAGGCGCGAAAGCGUGGGGAAGCAAACAGGAUUAGAUACCCUGGGUAGUCCACGCCCGUAAACGAUGAAGUGCUAAGUGUUAGAGGGUUUCCCGCCCUUUAGUGCUGAAGUUAACGCAUUAAGCACUCCGCCUGGGGAAGUACGGCCGCAAGGCUGAAACUCAAAGGAAUUGACGGGGGCCCCGCACAAGCGGUGGAGCAUGUGGUUUAAUUCGAAGCAACGCGAAGAACCUUACCAGGUCUUGACAUCCUCUGACAACCCUAGAGAUAGGGCUUCUCCUUCGGGAGCAGAGUGACAGGUGGUGCAUGGUUUGUCGUCAGCUCGUGUCGUGAGAUGUUGGGUUAAGUCCCCGCAACGAGCGCAACCCUUUGAUCUUAGUUGCCAUCAUUAAGUUGGGCACUCUAAGGUGACUGCCCGGUGACAAACCGGGAGGAAGGUGGGGAUGACCGUCAAAUCAUCAUGCCCCUUAUGACCUGGGCUACCACCACGUGCUACAAUGGGACGGUACAAAGAGCUGCAAGACCGCGAGGUGGAGCUAAUCUCAUAAAACCGUUCUCAGUUCGGAUUGUAGGCUGCAACUCGCCUACAUGAAGCUGGAAUCGCUAGUAAUCGCGGAUCAGCAUUGCCGCGUGUAUACGUUCCCGGGCUUGGUACACACGCCCGUGCACACACGAGAGUUGUACACCGAGUCGUGGG
rnacentral:rRNA from 1 species